GGGAUGGAGGAAAGGUCACUAUGCGAAGGCUCACUCGCAUGCAGUGCCUGGUGCUGGCUAAAUGACAACGUCUCCCCAGCUGACCUUGCAGGCACAUUUCCUGGAGAUGAUACAGAAUUGAAUCAAUUUAUUUGCUGGUUCACAGAUGGACUUGUUGACUUUUCAGAAGGCCCGUCUUAUAAGCUCCAGUUCUGUGGAAUGGAUCCACUGCUGAUGAAAAGAAGAAACUCAUCAUUGCCAAAGCAAUUACGGAGAUGAUCAAAGAGAGAUCCAGGACGACCUUCUGACACUCGGUAGUAAUCAAGCCAUCGCUAUAACCCUCACGUGAAGAACUCUUGCUGAGUGACAGCCCAAGCAACCCUAAUUAGAAUCCAAGCUUUUAAAGAUCAUUUCUACGGAUACCCAUUGCACAGUCAGCCCUAUGACAGCGAGAGACCUAACGGUGCAUAAAACAAUGACAUCAGAUGGCCAUUAUACCAGCAUGUUCUAUUGGCAACAGGUGUCUGUUUUCGUUUCAUACUCGGAGCCUCUGUUCCCUAAUGUUUUGCCCACCGUGAUGCCGGCGUCUGAACAGGAAAGAUUAAACAGCACGUCUUGGGAGGAAAAACAAAAAGAUGGCUGAGAAUCAAAGGCUACCAGACAGCCCCGAACAUGUUCUGAAAACAAAAGUGCAUGAAAUCAAACAGAUACAUGAGCAAAACAUCAGUUAUCUCCAAAGCUGUGAAAAAUCCAUAUGUUUUGUCUAUGUGGCCCUUAAACACAUUGUUUUGCCUCUUGUCCACAUGAAUGGAGGCAAGGGAAGCAGACUAUACUUUGCCUUACAUUGCUGAGUUUAAAUGAAGCCUUAAAUCUGUGGAAGAAACCCACAGUCGCUGCUUUUACCUCCGAGUCUGCUGUACAGCAAAACUAUGACUGAAAACACUAGGCUGGGAAUAAAGUAAAACCCAAAUUUCCUAUGUCAACCAAACCUUUGUUUCUGAAGCCUUUGCAAAGAUGCUGUCCUGGGUUUGAGGCAUAUGAAAGCAUAUGAAUCGCGUUCUUCUGGUCCCAUUAUGCCUUCUGAAUUUUGUGUCCAUUUACUGGGACUCAGCUGUCCACUCUGCUAGAGACAGGGCUGGAAAAAAAUUACUUCCAGUUUGUGUUUAUUGCUAAUUGAGACGGCAUAGGCACACUUGUUUUGGGACUUCGACUUCCCUUCUCCAUGAAUUUACCCUCUUUUGCCCUCUUCUUCAUAUCCGAAUGGACUCUAUUCUUUUCCUCAUCUAUUUCAUAUACAUUUUAGAAACUGCAAGUUUUUUUUACAGUAACCCGGCUAAUGUUUCAAUUUGUUUACAAUUUGUUUGUAAUAAAUAUUCAAUAAACGAUUUCCAAUCCUUGAUAAAAAGUCUGUUG